ACCAGCUCUUCCUCUUAUCAAAGCCUACCUAAGAAAUCAUCUGCAUGGAAGAAAUCUGAGAAGACUUUCUAAGAAAAGCAUUUACCUAACUAGUGUUUACAUAUUAUCACCUCAAAAUACAUACAGCUUGUAUGUUAAUUGGCCAGGACCUGGAUAGUAGAAAAGAACUGGGAAAACCACUCAAGAAAGGAGAAAACACAGAGCUGCAUAGAGGACUUUGAGCCAAUGCUGCUUUGAGACUCAGAAGAUGUGGAGACUCAUCAUUCUCCAGAGGAUUCUAUUUCACCUUUGUUUAAUUGCUGGGCCUCUCCUGUUUCCAUACCCAGAUGAAGUAUUCUUGGAAUUUAAGUGUCCUGGUCGAAGCCCCAGAGAAAAUACGGAGCCCUCUGCCCCUGCAUAUCUUUACAGAAGAAGUUUUCCUGCACAUCACUGGAUAUAGACAGACAUUGAUAAAAAAAGAAGAGAAUCAGAAGGCUCUAGACAACCCAAGCCCUCACUCAAAUUCUGCUGUUUCAAGUAGAAAACAACCAACUUGUAACCUAAGUCUCUCCUUUUUUAAGAGGAAGUGGUAGUGGGAUAAAGAAAAGGAUGGCAUUUCCUACAGCAGCUGAGACUCUUAUUAACUGGUUAAAGAACCAACUCCUCAAUAAAGAAUUAGUCGAAUGAACCAGUUGAAGAAAGAAAAGAAAUCUUUGCGCUAAUUUAUGGCUUUGGAACAUGAACAGCCACCCAAGAUUCUCUCCCUUUACAGUUAAUCUUGAAUAUCAUACUUCUACUUUGCUUCUCAGAGACUCAUCUUAAAAGUGUUGCCAUAUUUUGUGUUUCUAAGCCCUACAUCUGAUUUAUUAACCCACUGUAAUCUGUCUUUUGUCCUUACUACCUUACUGAAACUUAUAAAGACAGUGGUCAAAAUGACUGGCUUAUUGAUAAAUAGAGUGAAUGUUUCUUAGUGCUUAUUUUACUGGAUUUCUCCAUGGCAUUUGAAGACAAUGAACAUUGAGAAAUUUCUCUUCUUUUGCUUCCUGUGAUACCAUGCUCUCAUUCUCUUCCAUCUCAGAUCAGUUCUGUCUUCUCUGAAUUCUCUUCCCUGCUUCUCUUAAAAUAGAUGUUCUUUGUGUUCUCUACCUCUUCGUUGAUGAUUUCAUUCCUUCUUAUGUGUUCAAUAUCACCUCUACAUGAUUUUCACAUCUGGAUCUCUAGCCUAGACUUUCUUCCUGCAUCCUUAUAUCUUCACCUACCUAUCUCAGUUGCUGCCAGCUGUGGCCAUUAAGGACAAUUCCAACUCAGCUCCUGCUGCCACACUCCUACCUCAACUGCCUGCUGUUGUGUGUCUUUCCAAGGUUUGCCCCCAGGACCUUCUAUAAUAUCAUGGGAGUUGGCCUGCCCACUUAAACCAGGGCAACUCACAAUGGGGUAGUCAGCAGGUAAAUGCUCCAGAGUCCUGUCUUUCAGAUAGGCUAAUUCUUGGAGGCAUUCCUUGUUCUCAAAAGUCCCUUUGUUGCCCAGAGCACUGGCCUUAAAGAAGUAUCCUUAUAUUGAAUCUUUCUCCUUCACUGUCUCACUUUUCCUACUUGGUCACUCAUGGUUUGUGGGAUCUUUCCCCAAGUAAACUACCUGUACCCAAGUUCUUAUUGCAGGUACUGCUUUUGGGGAAACCCAAAGGCAUUGGGUACCAGGAGUGGUCGUGGAAUUUAGACUUUCAAAAUGAGAUUUUACAGCUAGAUUGUCUCUAUUUAGAUGAUACCUAACCCAAUUACUGGUGGCAAACAGGAUGGUGAUAGGACUUACCAUGCUAUUGCAUUAAAUAACUGGGACUCUUACCCAUAAUGGAUGUGAUGAAGUAUAGAGGAAAGGAGAAGCAUUGUACAGAAUGAUAUGGGGCAGUGGUAAUUAAGGUUACCGAGUUGAAUGGCUUUUCUUAAAUGCCUUAAAAGCUUUGAAGUAAAAAAAAAAAAAAAAAAAAAAAAAAAAAAAAAAAAAAAGGCUUUGAAGUAAUAGAUUAUGGAAUAAAAAUAAAAUACCAGGCUCAGAUCAUCUGUCAACUGAGUGCACACUGUGAAGAUCGUAAAGCUUCCACAGAAAGAUUCAAAAAGACCUUCAAUUCCUAUAAUCAGAGGGAUGUCUAUGGCAAAAGCCAAAUAUCUAAACCUUAUGGAAAGACAAGAUGUGCAGUAUUGAUAGGUCUCCUAAGCUGAAGACAUAGCCAUAAUAGAAAAGUAGUAGAAUCCUGAAACUUGAUACGGAGACAUUGGGUGGAUUCAUUUAGAAAGAGUGAAACUCCCAAGUUCUCUUGGAUCCUCCAAAAAGAGAGGAAUCUCCCUUACCUGAAGACCUUAUAAAGACCACAUCUGAGGCAAAUGCCUUGUAAGAUGAUGUUGCCUUCUCAAAACCCACUAUCACCUCCUCUUAUAGCUUACAAACCAAUAACGAAGGCUAUGACCCUGUAUUAAUUUAGGAGGGAAAUACAGUCCUUGCUCCAGAAGGAAAUAGCUUUUUUACUUUUUAUUUUUAUUUUUUACAGAAAAUGUAGUGCUUAUUUAUAUGUACUGUCAAGAAUUGGAAGAGUAUGUGUGGGAGUGGUUUUUAAGGAUUAAGAUGAGGAGGAAGUACAUAAACCUGGAUAGGAAGAUUUAUUAAUCUUGAAGUAUACUCUUCCAUGACUCAGGAUUUAAUGUCUCAGCAAGAAUACCUGGAUCCAGUCCUAACCCAAAGCUAGGAGGCGUCCAUGAAGCUCAGUCACAAUUUUAGCCUAUAGUAAUAAAGGUAGAGAUACUGGAACUGCCUUGGCAGAGUAUUGAAGAAGGAUUUGGAAGGCUCAGGGAAGUGUAAAAGAAAGAGAAAACUCAACCCAAUCACGUUUUGAAGGAUACUCCCUUUACUUAGACAAUAAGGAAUAAAUAGUUGAUGAAAUUCCAUUAUAUAUUUGAGAAUUUCAGUGAUAACUCUUCUUAGUAGGCCAGAGUAGGUAGUGAGAAAGUAUGCCAUGGUGGAACUCAUUUCCAUUGUGUGAACAGGGAGGACAGAAUUCAAAAAAAAUCAGAGACAAGGUUUUAGCACUUAAAUGGAAGGUAGAAGUGAUUACCAUAAUGGGCAUCCAAUCCAGAACAGCAAUCUGAGAACUUUGACCAUGGUUCCUAGGAGUGAGAGAGAUGGGUAAUUGACUGCAGACAAAAAUCAAAGGCUGGCACACAGAAGUCUGAUGUUAGCCUCCACUGUGGAAUAUCACAAUUAUUCAAACAACUUUAAUAUUAGAUCUUGUUCUCCCACAAAGAG
rnacentral:lncRNA from 1 species